UGCGCGGGCCCCGCGGCGGCCCCGGCUCCUCCCGCGGGCGCCAUUUCCGCGGCGCGCGCUGAGGCGGCGCUGAGGGCGAGGGAGCCGCGAUCUCCGCCCUCCAUCGCGCAGUGAAUCACAGCAUGGAAGACACUGAACCACUCCCAUUAAAAACCCUACACCUUCACCUUCAAGGCUCUGCAGACCCUGGGUUUCAGAAACAAAGGAAACCACCUCCAUUCGCAGAACCUCCAUUCAGCCAUGCUCACUUGGUAACCUGCCAGUAAGGAGUAACAAGUGAAACUCUUAGCAAGAUCUUUGGAUAUGACUGCAUUUAGCAAACAGUACCAACGUGCACUAUCAGCUUCCAACAUUUCUGUCCUUCCAAACCUUUAUCAAAUCUUUCAUUGAAGAAACCAGAAGUUGUCCAUGAGAAGUGAGAAGUUACAG